UUUGAACUCUGAAAGCCAUUUAUUAUUUCCUGCUAAAAAUUCAUAGCCGAAUCAAAGCGUAUAGACUGUGAAAGAAUGAGUAAAAGCUUAUUUCUUACAUUGAGUCCAACGGAAAAGUGAAACUCCAAACUGCUUUUUCUCAGUUUUAACUAGACGUGUGUGGGAUCCCACCUGAUAAACUCGGUCCAUUUUAUCUGUGCGGGUAGUCAACCUCUCAAUGUAAGGUGUGAUUUUACUUUUUCUUCUUCCUAUUGAAUCAUAACUUAAAUUGGUACACUCUUUUGUUCUAUGUUGGUUUAUUUUUUUUUUAAAGGUUAUUAUUUUGUAUAAACUAGCCAUUUACCUAGUCUCAUCUAAUAGUUAUAUUGACAAAACUUAAGUUUCGUUUGUGUUCUUCGAUUUUCAUUUUUUCCUUAAUUUUGGAUCUCUGCAAUUUUUUUAUUGAAGAAAUGUUCAAUUCAUGUUAUGUAGUUGAUAAAAUUUACUUCCUAUUUAAACAGUUACUACCUCUAAAUCUGAGCUCGUUGGCUCCUGGAAUGUAUGCGAUGGUCGUUGUUAAGUUAUCCUCAAUAGUUCAAUUUCAUACCACAUAUGUAACUGUUCAACUUAGCAAAUUAAUCUAUUAUAAAGGGUCUCCCUUAACUUCAUUUUUUCAAAAUUUUAAGGGCAAAGGUUAUUCCACCCAAAAAACAUAAUUAAAUUUCUACUUAAGUCUUAAAACAUUGCAGUGGACUUAUGGUGUCUUAAGUAUAUUGAAGUUCCACUCCACUCCAACCCCCUACCCCCUCCUUCCAGCCGAAGAUACACCUUUUGGUAAUUCCGGCGUGUCUCGGGAAGUCACCUCUUAAUCUUAUAUAUUAGUCGUACACCUAACAUGUUACAUUACCUUACUUUACUUUUAAACUAUGUUUGUUUAAUUUUUGUUUGUUUAAACAAUGUACUCUACUUUAUGUGAUUUUCCUUGCCAAAAUAAAAAAUAAAAAAUAAAAAAGUAUAUUGAAGUUGAAGUUAAGUACCCAGCAAUUUAAUUUAGAAAUAUCUGCAGGUAGUCAACCCCUCAAUCUAUGUUGUGUUCACUUUAUUCCCUCUUCUUAUACAAAUGUUUCACUUUAAAUUUUACCCAUAUUCUAAUAAAUUCAUAAAAUUUUGCGAAAUUAUUUUGUAAAUAUUUCAAUAAUAUUUUGAAAAUACAUCGUAAAUAUUUACGAAAUAUUGUUGGCGAUCAAAAAGUGUUCUUUUAACCAUAUUGUUAAAAUAUUUUUGUAACAUGUUUGCAAUGUUUCACAAAUAAUAAAACAUAAUUACCGUAAACUCUUUGUCAAUAUUUCUGAAAGCAUUUCAGCAACAUUUUCUGUUUUGAUGGAAGAGCAGUCGCCUUUAGAUUGAAUAAGUAUUGAAUGAACGAUCAAACUUUAUCACACUCAGAGUUGCCAUUUGUUAAUUAAAGGACACUGAUAUCCCCUAUCUAAGCGAUGAAAGCUGCACAUUUGUCACAAAAGCGAUAUGGAUAUCUGUUAGUUCUUCCUUUCUAUUUUAGCCUUGCUGUAGUCAGCGAGUUAUUGCUCAGUCGAUAGUGAUGAUCAUCCUACUUCCCUCGCUUUUUAAACUUUCACAAUCUCAAAUGUUCCGUUUUUAUGUUUUGUUUACUUGCUAACACCAAUUGACAAUGAUGUUUUCAUGACUUAGCCCUAGUGUAGGUUACACACGGAGGAAAAAUCGGAACUUCUGAUAAAACUCAGGCAAGUAGUCGGAACAUAUUUAUUUUUGGAUCAUUCAACGAGAGAAACUCCUCCUAUUAUGGUAACAGCAAUGAAAUAGAAGUCGAAAGGAAGGAAACACACUAGUUAUUGUAAAAAAAAAAUUAAUUUUAAUAUUCAUCUUAAGAUAAGGCGAGAGCUACUUUCCGUCGAGGAAGUGACUUGCGAGCAGGGUAGACUGCAACGAAAAAAAAUAUGAAAGAUUUGAAAUUUCAGUGCGACACACACACACCCUCCCUUUCCCUCUCACACACUCACACGAAAACAAAAAAACAAUAAGUGAAAUAUUUCAUUUCUUUAAAGGCUUCAGUAUAGAUUCAACCCGCACUCAAAGACACAUUUAAUGCAAAAUAAAAGAAUUGCAUUUGUGAAA
rnacentral:lncRNA from 1 species